GUGGGUAUAGCUCAAUUGGUUAGAGCGCUAGAUUGUGGUUCUAGAGGUUGUCGGUUCGAGACCGAUUAUCCACCCCA
rnacentral:tRNA from 1 species